CAAGUCAUAGGUGGAUUCAGAGUUUCUGAUUGAUUGGCAGUUGGUUGAAAGAGUUAAGCUUUGCCUAAAGACUUGAAGUAAAAGCUUGAGUUAAGGUAAGGGGGAGUGUCCAGCCUCCCUUCCAUCAUGGCCAACAAUCCAGCUUUUCAGGUUUCUCUGGGGUCCUCUAGGCCAAGAGGGGAUUUCAUUCAGUUGGUUGGGGGGCUUAGGAUUUUAUUUUGUUAUAGUAGUCAUAGCCGAAUCACCUAGAUAGAUAAAGUUUCUAUGGACUGAGCUGGGAAUACUUUGGAAGGAGCAGGUCUGGGGUCAGAACAGAGGACAGCAAAGGGCAGGAGUUAGUCUUGGGCAUGGUAAAGUUGAGAUGCUUAUUGUGCUCUUCGGUUUUGCUUUGAGUUUGUUCAGGAAAAUAAAUUUUAUAAAUUAAAACUCCAUUGGAUAUAGAAAUUAGGAUUCAUACC
rnacentral:lncRNA from 1 species